rnacentral:lncRNA from 1 species
GCGAUAUCCUUAAGUAAUCAUUCAAUUAUCUUUUUUUUAUUCUCUUUAUCAACAAAAUAACUAUAAUCUUCUAAUUCAAAAUAACUUUCAAUAAUCUCAAGAUUGCUAUGGCAUUCUAUAAUUAUAUCAAGAUUAAGUUUCCAAAAUAAAUCUAAUGCUAACAAAACAUAAUACAACCAUUCUAUAUUACUCAAAAUAUACCUCUAUAUAUUCAUUGUCUAGUCACGACAAUAUUCUUCUGAGAACUAAGCUUGGUACGUUAAAUGAAAAUUUU